rnacentral:piRNA from 1 species
UNGCCUGCGUUGGGAAAACAAAAAUGGUA